UAAAAACUUUUCGAAUUUAAAUUUUUUAAAAGUUUUAUAAAUUUGUAUCAUUGAACAAUGUGUCCUGAUGAGCUGUGUUCACAGUGAAAAUGCAUUCGAUGAAAUAAAGUAAUAAUUGCUGAUUUUUAACAACUUUCUCAAAUCUUUUGGACCCAAGGCCACAAUAUAAACAAUUUUAUUUGA